CAAUUUCGAGUGCAAGUGCCACAGUGUCAGCUAAAGAAACACAACUGCGGGUUUUCUGCAGAGCGAAAUGGUUCUGAAAUGUCACUGAAUAGCUCACAAAGGACGCCAAUCUACGACAACAGAUACAUAAGCAUAUAGGAGAAAGGGCCCACACAUCCUCCUUUAAAAGGUUUUAUAAAGCUUAUUGAAGAACAGGAAAUGUCUUUGAUUUCCAAGCAUCUUCAUAGGAUGUGGAGAAAAGAGAGAGAAAGGGAGAGAGGAGUCAUGGACCCUACUUUAUGGUUGCCAUGGAUGCAAGGUCAGCCUUCCACACUUGGAUCUACCAGCAAAGUUCAGACAGGUCAAUGUGUGACCGGCCCAGGCCCUGGGGUUAAAAGUUCAAGCAGCGAUGGAAAAACCAAUAUGUCCACACAGAGUAUGCUGUACAAUUUAUUUCAAUUUACAUCAAGCCAUGCAUAUAAAAUUUAGAUAAAUUCCAUUCAAAUCUGAUGUUGCCUGACACACAAUGUAUGCAAACAGAUGUCUGUGGGGCUUUUUCUGUGCUUUAGAAAACAACAUUAAAUUUAAAAAUAUGUCUCUGGGAUUUCUUUAUUGAAUUACAAAAUGAACAUAAUUUUAACUUAAAUGUUUUCAUUCUUUCUUCCAAUUCUUUUUGUGGGGGGUCUUAAUAAUUUCUCAGUUCUCAAUCUACUCUAUGUCAUAUUAAAGAGGAUAAUGUAUAUUUACAA